UUAUACGUGUUUACUAUAAAGUUGUGUGUAGUUUCAUUGAAGAAGAUGUAAAUCUACUUCAUUCUAAGUGGAUACAAUUUAAGUGAUAGAUCUGGAGUGACUCGUGAAGCCAGAGAUCUUUCUAGGGUUAAAAGCAAUCUGCGAUUUCUAUGUAUGUUACGUACCGUGAUACAGUAUCCUUAGUAUUUUUAAUUCUUUUUAAUUUUACAUUUCUCUCCCCUUUUAAAUUACUCUCGUAUACUGCACACUUUUGUAUCUUAACUGUUUAUAAAUGUUUCUCUUCUAAUUUUCAUAUGCUGUAGAAUAUAUAAAAUACACUUAAUGUACAUAUGAACAAAGUAGCUUAAUUGAGAGCGGGAAAAAGGAACCUGGAAAUGAAGGUUAAGUAGACAGUGCAAACAGCGUUGAAAGGAUAAUAGACACAACACCAUCUACUGGAAACAAACGGCGUUCGCAACUGCCAGAAUUCGAUGUUCUCAUUCUCACAUCAAUUCGUUCAUCGUCAGGAGGUGUCACUACUAAUAUUUCUAGCGCGUUCGUAAAACUUUCUCGUAGGUUAUAUUAUCAAACUGCAAUACGUUUAAAUUAAUAUUAAUAACAUUUAUCGUGCAAUGCAACUUUAAAGUUGUUUCUAAGGAACUGCAUGUACUUUGUAAGUGAUAUUACGUGCAAGUACGCCUUCAAAGAGUACAAAGCACGCAACUUUAAAUACAAUUUCCUCUCAACAUUUCAACUAUAUAUUCGGCUGCAGUAUAAUACACAACAUACUAAAAAUACUCCAGACGAAACAAACACUCGUAUACCUAAAUAUUCAGCGAAACCGUUUACUUCAAAGAAUUUUACGCAGAGGUUAAUUCAGCGAAGAAUAGAAGCAAGAAUCAGUAACGAAAUUUCCAAAUUAUCCGACACACAUCUGGAAUUAUUCUCAGAGGCCACGUUUUGAAACGAACCGGCAUACCGUUGGUAAUGCAACUGCAGGGUACCAUUUAGAGAAGUUAACCAAAUCGAUCCUGAAACCUGCAAAAUCGGUAAAGAGAUCACCAGGCUAGCAGGUCUCGUUUAGAAAUCACAAUGGCUGGCCAAAAGUUGGUAAACCAGAAGAGGGCGUGUGCGAUUAUCCAGGCAGCGUUAAGCGAAGCGACUUGAAAUCUAGAUGUUACCGAUAAGACCAUAUCUGCAAGAUACGAUCAGCACCUCAAUGCCAGCGGCAUGUCGCUGGGUUGAAUUUGAAGAGAAGUGAGAAAGAAAGGGAGGUAUGGCGGUAAACGACGAAGAGGAAUAGAGAAAAGAAAGGGAAAAACAGCACGAGAAAGAUCGCGGAACGAGGAAGGAAGGAAGUGAAGAGGUUUGCCGUUUACAUACCGCGGUAUUUCCGGUACCGUGUCUUCCGGCGAUUCGAAAGAACCGGAGGAGCUUCCCCGACUGAGUCUCCUCUCUUUUCUGAACCCCGUGAGCAACA
rnacentral:lncRNA from 1 species